rnacentral:rRNA from 2 species
CAGGCUUAACACAUGCAAGUUGAGGGGCAGCACAGGUAGCAAUACCGGGUGGCGACCGGCGCACGGGUGAGUAACGCGUAUGCAACUUGCCUAUCAGAGGGGGAUAACCCGGCGAAAGUCGGACUAAUACCGCAUGAAGCAGGGGCCCCGCAUGGGGAUAUUUGCUAAAGAUUCAUCGCUGAUAGAUAGGCAUGCGUUCCAUUAGGCAGUUGGCGGGGUAACGGCCCACCAAACCGACGAUGGAUAGGGGUUCUGAGAGGAAGGUCCCCCACAUUGGUACUGAGACACGGACCAAACUCCUACGGGAGGCAGCAGUGAGGAAUAUUGGUCAAUGGCCGAGAGGCUGAACCAGCCAAGUCGCGUGAGGGAUGAAGGUUCUAUGGAUCGUAAACCUCUUUUAUAAGGGAAUAAAGUGCGGGACGUGUCCCGUUUUGUAUGUACCUUAUGAAUAAGGAUCGGCUAACUCCGUGCCAGCAGCCGCGGUAAUACGGAGGAUCCGAGCGUUAUCCGGAUUUAUUGGGUUUAAAGGGUGCGUAGGCGGCCUUUUAAGUCAGCGGUGAAAGUCUGUGGCUCAACCAUAGAAUUGCCGUUGAAACUGGGGGGCUUGAGUAUGUUUGAGGCAGGCGGAAUGCGUGGUGUAGCGGUGAAAUGCAUAGAUAUCACGCAGAACCCCGAUUGCGAAGGCAGCCUGCCAAGCCAUGACUGACGCUGAUGCACGAAAGCGUGGGGAUCAAACAGGAUUAGAUACCCUGGUAGUCCACGCAGUAAACGAUGAUCACUAGCUGUUUGCGAUACACUGUAAGCGGCACAGCGAAAGCGUUAAGUGAUCCACCUGGGGAGUACGCCGGCAACGGUGAAACUCAAAGGAAUUGACGGGGGCCCGCACAAGCGGAGGAACAUGUGGUUUAAUUCGAUGAUACGCGAGGAACCUUACCCGGGUUUGAACGCAUUCGGACCGAGGUGGAAACACCUUUUCUAGCAAUAGCCGUUUGCGAGGUGCUGCAUGGUUGUCGUCAGCUCGUGCCGUGAGGUGUCGGCUUAAGUGCCAUAACGAGCGCAACCCUUGCCACUAGUUACUAACAGGUGAUGCUGAGGACUCUGGUGGGACUGCCAGCGUAAGCUGCGAGGAAGGCGGGGAUGACGUCAAAUCAGCACGGCCCUUACAUCCGGGGCGACACACGUGUUACAAUGGCGUGGACAAAGGGAGGCCACCUGGCGACAGGGAGCGAAUCCCCAAACCACGUCUCAGUUCGGAUCGGAGUCUGCAACCCGACUCCGUGAAGCUGGAUUCGCUAGUAAUCGCGCAUCAGCCAUGGCGCGGUGAAUACGUUCCCGGGCCUUGUACACACCGCCCGUCAAGCCAUGGGAGCCGGGGGUACCUGAAGUCCGUAACCGCGAGGAUCGGCCUAGGGUAAAACUGGUGACUGGGGCUAAGU